GAGUUUGAUCCUGGCUCAGAUUGAACGCUGGCGGCAGGCUUAACACAUGCAAGUCGAACGGUAACAUGAGUGCUUGCACUUGAUGACGAGUGGCGGACGGGUGAGUAAAGUAUGGGGAUCUGCCGAAUGGAGGGGGACAACAGUUGGAAACGACUGCUAAUACCGCAUAAAGUUGAGAGACCAAAGCAUGGGACCUUCGGGCCAUGCGCCAUUUGAUGAACCCAUAUGGGAUUAGCUAGUUGGUAGGGUAAAGGCUUACCAAGGCGACGAUCUCUAGCUGGUCUGAGAGGAUGACCAGCCACACUGGAACUGAGACACGGUCCAGACUCCUACGGGAGGCAGCAGUGGGGAAUAUUGCACAAUGGGGGAAACCCUGAUGCAGCCAUGCCGCGUGUAUGAAGAAGGCCUUCGGGUUGUAAAGUACUUUCGGUGAUGAGGAAGGUGGUGUAUCUAAUAGGUGCAUCAAUUGACGUUAAUUACAGAAGAAGCACCGGCUAACUCCGUGCCAGCAGCCGCGGUAAUACGGAGGGUGCGAGCGUUAAUCGGAAUGACUGGGCGUAAGGGCAUGUAGGCGGAUAAUUAAGUUAGGUGUGAAAGCCCUGGGCUCAACCUAGGAAUUGCACUUAAAACUGGUUAACUAGAGUAUUGUAGAGGAAGGUAGAAUUCCACGUGUAGCGGUGAAAUGCGUAGAGAUGUGGAGGAAUACCGGUGGCGAAGGCGGCCUUCUGGACAGAUACUGACGCUGAGAUGCGAAAGCGUGGGGAGCAAACAGGAUUAGAUACCCUGGUAGUCCACGCUGUAAACGAUGUCGAUUUGGAGUUUGUUGCCUAGAGUGAUGGGCUCCGAAGCUAACGCGAUAAAUCGACCGCCUGGGGAGUACGGCCGCAAGGUUAAAACUCAAAUGAAUUGACGGGGGCCCGCACAAGCGGUGGAGCAUGUGGUUUAAUUCGAUGCAACGCGAAGAACCUUACCUGGUCUUGACAUCCACAGAAUCUUGCAGAGAUGUGAGAGUGCCUUCGGGAACUGUGAGACAGGUGCUGCAUGGCUGUCGUCAGCUCGUGUUGUGAAAUGUUGGGUUAAGUCCCGCAACGAGCGCAACCCUUAUCCUUUGUUGCCAUCGGUUAGGCCGGGAACUCAAAGGAGACUGCCGUUGAUAAAGCGGAGGAAGGUGGGGACGACGUCAAGUCAUCAUGGCCCUUACGACCAGGGCUACACACGUGCUACAAUGGCGUAUACAAAGGGAGGCGA
rnacentral:rRNA from 1 species